UUCAAUACUACCGUUAAAACGUAGUGUGCACUUUUCUCUUAGUAAGACGUCGUGAUUCAUUAGAAAUUGAUGUAUUUAAAUGAGUACAUAGUGGGUCAUCAAUAGGCUAACGUGAAGUUUAUUCGGAACAAAUGGCGUUGUCUUUCACGGCUUCGUGUAUUGUCUGUUAAGCGCGUUAUGUUUUCCUGUAAUGACUGUCUGAUGGAUUUUAAGGACAAUAUCAUCGAUACUUGUAUCGUCUCUUAUAGAGAUUUUUAUGAUAUUUGUCUGAUCAACGGCGGCUAAAUUUGAGAUACCUUUUGGACCCGUCUUGAAACACGGACCAAGGAGUCUAUCUAGUAUGCGAGUAAAUGGAUUGUUUGUUGAAAUCUAUUUGCGUAAUAAACUUGACUGUUUACUAAUGGGAUUACGAGUGAUAAAGUAAUUUUUAUUGUUCUUCCAUCCCGGGGUAUUUUUAUCAACAUAUACCGUUAAAAAGUAUAUGGAAAAUAUACCAUGAGCACACUGGAUGCGACCCGAAAGAUGGUGAACUAUGCCUGAUCAGGUCGAAGUCAGGGGAAACCCUGAUGGAGGACCGAAGCAGUUCUGACGUGCAAAUCG
rnacentral:rRNA from 1 species